rnacentral:rRNA from 1 species
ACCCGCUGAACUUAAGCAUAUCAAUAAGCGGAGGAAAAGAGACCAACAGGGAUUGCCCUAGUAACGGCGAGUGAAGCGGCAACAGCUCAAAUUUGAAAUCUGGCGUCUUUGGCGUCCGAGUUGUAAUUUGCAGAGGGCGCUUUGGCAUUGGCAGCGGUCCAAGUUCCUUGGAACAGGACGUCACAGAGGGUGAGAAUCCCGUACGUGGUCGCUAGCCUUUACCGUGUAAAGCCCCUUCGACGAGUCGAGUUGUUUGGGAAUGCAGCUCUAAAUGGGAGGUAAAUUUCUUCUAAAGCUAAAUACUGGCCAGAGACCGAUAGCGCACAAGUAGAGUGAUCGAAAGAUGAAAAGCACUUUGGAAAGAGAGUUAAAAAGCACGUGAAAUUGUUGAAAGGGAAGCGCUUGCAGCCAGACUUGCCUGUAGUUGCUCAUCCGGGUUUUUACCCGGUGCACUCUUCUAUAGGCAGGCCAGCAUCAGUUUGGGCGGUUGGAUAAAGGUCUCUGUCAUGUACCUCUCUUCGGGGAGAACUUAUAGGGGAGACGACAUGCAACCAGCCCGGACUGAGGUCCGCGCAUCUGCUAGGAUGCUGGCGUAAUGGCUGU